CUUUAGGCUGAGCUGAGGAGAGAGUCUGAUAGGGAGGGGCCUCAGAGCUCACCACUCCAACCCCAGCUCAGCCAAGGGCAGGGGGGCCCGGCGAGUGGCUUCAGCCUCAAGCCCAAGUGUGGUUUCUCAAGGUCUACAGUGAGGCCCACCGACGCGCUGGGGAUCUGUUCUCGUGGAGAAGGGGGAAGGGUCUAAUCUGGGCUGCUGAGACGCAAACCAGAACGGGCCCCCGGAUAUUGAUCUUUAGCAGUGCUCUUGCUCCGUUGAGGCCCAUCACCCGCGUCGUAAAGCUGCCGUGUUUAGCAGGCUUCCUCAUUUCCUGCUGCUGUCCCUUCGGCCCAGACUUCUCAUGGAUCCAGGGCAUUCGCCCUCUUCCUACAUGGUCCAGGAACCUCAAGAGGUCGGAUUUCAGAACAAAUAGGAAGCCACAAGAAUCUUGCAGGCAAGACAAACAGGCGUCAGAGACGCUGAUCUUCCAGUGACUCCCCAG